rnacentral:sRNA from 1 species
UAGCGAGAGAACGUUGCGUCAGCAACGGCCCGCAGGGCGAGCCACGCAGUGGCGAGUAAUCCUCUAUCACCGACCA